GACGAACGCUGGCGGCGUGCUUAACACAUGCAAGUCGAACGGACAGACCCUGCGUUUGUUGCUUUCUCGAGUGGCGAACAGGUGAGUAUCACAUGAGUAUCCUGCCCUUAUCUUUGGGAGAACAUCACGAAACUGCGGCUAUUACCGGAUAGAAGAUCCUGCUGCGUGGGGUUGUAUGGAAAGUUUCGGCUGUUGUGGAUGGUUUCGCGGCUUAUCAGCUUGUUGGUGGAGUAGGGGCGGACCAAGGCUUCGACGGGUAGCCGGCCUGAGAGCGUGACCGGCCACCUGGCGCCUGCGAGACGCCCCAGAAUGCUACGGGACGCAGUAGGGGGGAAUAUUGCACAGUGGGCGGACGCCUGAUGCAGCAAUCCUGCGUGCGGGAUGACGGCCUUCGGGUUGUAAACAGCUUUCGCCGGUGACGAAGCGGUAGUGACGGUAAUGGGUAAAGAAGCACCGGCUAACUACGUG
rnacentral:rRNA from 1 species